rnacentral:rRNA from 1 species
GAUGAACGCUGGCGGCGUGCCUAAUACAUGCAAGUCGAGCGAACAGAUGGUGAGCUUGCUCCUCUGACGUUAGCGGCGGACGGGUGAGUAACACGUGGAUAACCUACCUAUAAGACUGGGAUAACUUCGGGAAACCGGAGCUAAUACCGGAUAAUAUAUUGAACCGCAUGGUUCAAUAGUGAAAGACGGUUUUGCUGUCACUUAUAGAUGGAUCCGCGCCGCAUUAGCUAGUUGGUAAGGUAACGGCUUACCAAGGCAACGAUGCGUAGCCGACCUGAGAGGGUGAUCGGCCACACUGGAACUGAGACACGGUCCAGACUCCUACGGGAGGCAGCAGUAGGGAAUCUUCCGCAAUGGGCGAAAGCUUGACGGAGCAACGCCGCGUGAGUGAUGAAGGUCUUCGGAUCGUAAAACUCUGUUAUUAGGGAAGAAAAAAUGUGUAAGUAACUAUGCACGUCUUGACGGUACCUAAUCAGAAAGCCACGGCUAACUACGUG